rnacentral:lncRNA from 1 species
UCUUUUCCCAACUCCACCAAGAGGGACCGUCCCAGGACGUCCUUCCCCGGGCAUCUGGCCCUACAGCUGCCUGAGGUCUCCAUCACCGUUGGCGCCAUCAGUCUGCUGUGCAGCCAGCUGUUGGUUUGGAGAGCCUGAAGAACUGCAGUUCACGUCUCAUCUAAAGGAGCUGAAAUGAUAUUGCAGCUUUUUCUUUUGGUUGCGUGCAGUGAGAAUCUGGGAGCUGAACCUGUUAUCUGCAUGGUCUUCAGAAAUCAGGCAAACUCGGAAAAUGCCAACGCCAAAAAUGCUGAUGGGUGACAAAGUGUCACAGGUGUGAUGCAUUACAAAUCUCAGGACUUUUGUUCACUGGAUUUGAAAGGUCAAGCUUCACAGGAAAAUGAUGAAGUCCCAAAAGACCAGAAAUAUAUUUCAGAAGAUGCCAGUUACUACUUUAAAUGUCAAACCAACAUUUCAGAAAUAACUUUCAAUGAUUAUUUCCUGCCAAGAAGGUGAACGCUGGAGACCUUAAUGGUGGAAGAUGGAGGGCGUCUUUCCUUCUGUUAAGCUGACAACUUGGCUUCCAUCUUGUGAGGACCUCACCCUACCUGGUGGCAGAGGACGUCUGACGCCCUCAAUCAUUGCCGUUACACUUCCCAGCCUGGUGGUCAGUCUCCUGGGGUCUGUGUGUUAACAAACCAUCGACUGGACAAUCGCAGUUUUCCUUAUGAAGGCUUACUUUAAAAAGGCUCUGGAUUUUCAGAAGCGAAGUCGCUUUCAUCCCCGAUUCAGACCCAUCCUAGUGGAGGAAAAAUCCUACCAGAAGAAGGGCUGACCAUAGGAACUUGCCAUUUCCUUGACCCCAUCAUAUCUGAGGAAAAAACAACAGAAAAGGUCAAAACCCACGUGUACGCCCAACGUCCUGAUUGACGACUUUGCCUGCAGCUUCUGCUUUCCUGAAAUUCGCUGCUGCCUUUAGAACCCUUGUCUGCAGCCAGUGGGGAGUUCAGGACUUAGGCGGAGCUGCCCCACCCUCCUGCUUGGCACCCUGCAAAUACAUGCCCUCCCUUCCAUCGCUGCAGACCUCAGAGUGGGCGUCCGGUCUCCUGUGCGGGAUGAGAAUACACACCCUCCCUUCCAUCGCUGCAGACCUUAGAGUGGAUGUCCGGUCUCCUGUAUGGGAUGAGAAUACACGCCUUCCCUUCCAUCGCUGCAGAGUGGACGUCUGGUCUCCUGUGUGGGAUAAUACACGCCCUCCUUUCAAUCGCUGCAGACCUCAGAGUGGACGUCCGGUCUCCUGUGUGGGAUAAUACACGCCCUCCUUUCAAUCGCUGCGGACCUCAGAGUGGAUGUCCGGUCUCCUGUAUGGGAUGAGAUACACUCCUUCCCUUCCACUGCUGCAGACCUCAGAGUGGACGUCCGGUCUCCUGUGUGGGAUGAGAUACACUCCUUCCCUUCCACUGCUGCAGACCUCAGAGUGGACGUCCGGUCUCCUUUGUGGGAUGAGAAUACACUCCUUCCCUUCCAUCACUGCAGACCUCAGAGUGGACGUCCGGUCUCCUGUGCGGGACAAGAAUACACUCCUUCCCUUCCAUCACUGCAGACCUCAGAGUGGACGUCCAGUCUCCUGUGCGGGAUGAGAUACACUCCUUCCCUUCCAUCGCUGCAGACCUCAGAGUGGACGUCCAGUCUCUCUGUGCGGGCCAAGUGUACACAGUUUUGUUCCGUCACAACUUCCACGACAGGCCAGUGUGAGGUUUUUGAGCUGGUGCUGACUGAAAACUGUCAGCUGCCCAAGGACCUGGGAGCUCUGCUCCCCACUCCUGGUGUGCGGUCUUGCGCCUGGCCUCCCUGCCUAGGUUACAUGCAGUGGUCAUCCCGGUCGCUCCCACACCCGUGUGGGCUCUGGGAUCCCCUCUUCCAGCCAGCCCAGGGGACAUCUGGCUGUCUCAGGACCCAGCCAUCUGUAAAAAUUAGGCAGGUCCCUUCAGUAUGCUCCUGGUCAACAAAGAAAAACUUCAAUUUUGAGAAUGGCAUCUGUAUUCCGAAGUGUUCUCUCAGAUGUUUGAGUUCCAC